rnacentral:rRNA from 1 species
UACAGAGGUCUCAAGCGUUGUUCGGAUUCAUUGGGCGUAAAGGGUGCGUAGGCGGCUACCUAAGUCGGAUGUGAAAGCCCCUGGCUCAACUGGGGAAGUGCACCCGAAACUGAGUAGCUAGAGUACGAAAGAGGGUCGCGGAAUUCCCGGUGUAGAGGUGAAAUGUGUAGAGAUCGGGAGGAACACCGGUGGCGAAGGCGGGUCUCUGGGCAAUUCCUGACGCUGCGGCGCGAAAGCGUGGGGAGCAAACGGG